rnacentral:rRNA from 1 species
GACGAACGCUGGCGGCGUGCUUAACACAUGCAAGUCGAACGGACUGCCUGGGUUUCGGCUCGGGUGGUGAGUGGCGAACGGGUGAGUAACACGUGAGUAACCUGCCCCUCUCUUUGGGGUAACGUCGGGAAAUCGGCGCUAAUACCGGGUAUUCUGGCUUCCUCCCCUGGGGUUGUUGGGAAAGGUUGUUUCUGGUGGGGGAUGUGCUCGCGGCCUCUCCGCUUGUUGGUGGGGUGAUGGCCUACCGAAGCGGUGCCGAGUAGCCGGUCUGGGACGGUGGGCGUGCACACUGGUACUGAGACACGGGCCAGGCUCCUGCGGGAGGCCGUAGGGGGGAAGCUUGCACAAUGCGCGGAAGCCUGAUGCAGCGACGGCGCGUGGGGGAUGACGGCCUUCGGGUUGUAAGCCUCUUUCAGUGCAGAACAAGGCUCUGCGUGGGUUGAGGGUACGCGCAGAAGAAGCGCCGGCUAACUACGUG